rnacentral:misc_RNA from 1 species
AAGUCGUAACAAGGUUUCCGUAGGUGAACCUGCGGAAGGAUCAUUACAGUAUGUUCUGUAGAUCUGGUGUCUUGGAUAAAACCGUGGGGAUGGAAGCUUUUACCUCCCUAAAGCUGCUCCCCCAUGUGGCCCGUUUGGGAAUCCAGCACCGCCCAACCUUGCUAAUUAUUAAAAAUCGUUGCCUCGGCGGGUUUGCCUGCCGGCGGAUAAUUUAAACUCUUUUAUUAAACCAUAAUUAUUGCAGCAGUCUGAGCUAAAUAUUUAAUAAAUAUUAAAACUUUCAACAACGGAUCUCUUGGUUCUG